rnacentral:rRNA from 1 species
UGGGCGAAAGCCUGAUGGAGCAACGCCGCGUGGGUGAAGAAGGUCUUCGGAUCGUAAAACCCUGUUGUUAGAGAAGAAAGUGCGUGAGAGUAACUGUUCACGUUUCGACGGUAUCUAACCAGAAAGCCACGGCUAACUACGUGCCAGCAGCCGCGGUAAUACGUAGGUGGCAAGCGUUAUCCGGAUUUAUUGGGCGUAAAGGGAACGCAGGCGGUCUUUUAAGUCUGAUGUGAAAGCCUUCGGCUUAACCGGAGUAGUGCAUUGGAAACUGGGAGACUUGAGUGCAUAAGAGGAGAGUGGAACUCCAUGUGUAACGGUG